rnacentral:lncRNA from 1 species
GGGCUCUUCCUCCCCGGCCCCGCAGUCUCAGCUCCGAGAAACUCAUCCCGGAGCUCCCCAGAAGGGCGGGAGUGGACGGCGCUGGGGGCUGGCACUGGGGCCCGGCCCUGGGCUCCUGCCCCUGGCCCCCUCCAACUCCCCAACAGGUAGCUCACUCGGGCCGCGAGCUCUCUCUCUGCCUCCCUCGCUCUAGAUCGCUCGCUCCUUCCCGGUUACCUGGGCGGACUCCAGGAUGGUACCGCACGGCAGGGCUCCUUGUGCGCUGCGCCGCGGGAGUAAAUGGCAUUAAAGAAAAAGGGAAACACACAAAUAAAAAAAAAUAAAGGAAGGGGAGUCGAUUAUAGGUCAAUUAGCCCAGCCCGGGGAGCACGGGCACAGAACUCCCCGGCGCCGCGGCCCGCAGCCCGUUAACUCAAGUCUGCGGGGCUGUCCCGCUGCGGGCGGGGGCGGCGCAGCCGCUGAAGUUUACCGCGGGGGCGCCCGGAGGUGCGCGCGGAGCGGGGCAACUAGGGGCUUCCCCCCGAAACAAGUGAAGGCGAUGGUUAGUGCUGUCAAUCUUGGCAAUCAGUGUGAGCGGCCAUGUCACUGGGCCCAGCUCUGGGUUCCUGAGCCUCACACUGUCUGGUCGCCAGCCCUGAAACUCAACCACAGAGGCCAAAAAAAUUUCUCCAAACCCCAAAGACGCUAACAUCGAAUGACCUUUCCUAAAAGCCUGCAGAGAAAAGAGGGGGUAAGUUAGAUUCCCAAGCAUGAUUCCUCAGGGAAGAGCUACAAAAGUGGUGAAACAUCAGGGACAGAAACACUAGGGAGCGACUGGGUCUUUCCAAUUGCAAACAGGUUUGGUUUCCCAAAGACCAGAGCGUCAGCCUCUUUAAAUCACAGGGUUCUCUGGGCUCUCAGAGGCAAGACUGACCCCGCCAACCAGAUGCAGGCCGCUGGCAGGAGGCAAGAAGAAAAAGAAGACAUUAUCAAGAUCUCUGUUGUCCAGGACCCUCAUACCCGGCCAGGAUGGACUUUCUGAAAAGGAGCGGCAAGAACUCUCUUUAGAUUUUAACUAAUAAAGUAAUAUCAGAGUCGACUGUUUCGGCGGAACCCGGAGCAGGUCAGAACACUGAUCUCUAAAAGGAAGGAAACAGAAGUUUGGGGUCUCGGUGCUGCACUUCAAGCUGUACACGGGGCGACACGUGGCCCUAGGGAUGGGAGUACUGGCCGAAGGUUCCCUCCAGCCCCGGCCCAGGCUGUACUGAGCAGUGGGCGAGGCGGAGAGCGCUGCAGCGUUGCAGCGCCGGGAUAGUCACCUGGUCCGCACCGGCCUGCGGGCUCCUGACGAAGUCCCCAGAGGAGCAGAGGACAUCCAGACGUGCGGCAGCCAGUUGCCUGAGCACACAGCCGCACUUCCCCUGGGGGUCGGAGACUCCCUCGCCAAAGGAACCCGGGUGCUGAACUCCCGGGCUCCAGGGCUGGAAGGAGGAGCGAGAGGGUGGGG